rnacentral:rRNA from 1 species
CAAGUCGUACGAAGGUCUUUGGCCUUAGUGGCGGACGGGUGAGUAACACGUGAGAAUCUGCCCUUAGGAAGAGAAUAACAAUUGGAAACGGUUGCUAAUACUCUAUAUGCCGAGAGGUGAAAGGAUUUAUCCGCCUUAGGAGGAGCUCGCGUCUGAUUAGCUAGUUGGUAAGGUAACGGCUUACCAAGGCGACGAUCAGUAGCUGGUUUGAGAGGACGACCAGCCACACUGGGACUGAGACACGGCCCAGACUCCUACGGGAGGCAGCAGUGGGGAAUUUUCCGCAAUGGGCGAAAGCCUGACGGAGCAAUACCGCGUGAGGGAUGACGGCCUGUGGGUUGUAAACCUCUUUUCUCAAGGAAGAAGUUCUGACGGUACUUGAGGAAUAAGCAUCGGCUAACUCUGUGCCAGCAGCCGCGGUAAUACAGAGGAUGCAAGCGUUAUCCGGAAUCACUGGGCAUAAAGCGUCUGUAGGUUGCUUGCCAAGUCUGCUGUUAAAGACUAGGGCCUAACCCUGGGAAAGCAGUGGAAACUAGCAAGCCUGAGUAUGGUAGAGGUAGAGGGAAUUCCUGGUGUAGCGGUGAAAUGCGUAGAUAUUAGGAAGAACACCAAUGGCGAAAGCACUCUGCUGGGCCACAACUGACACUGAGAGACGACAGCUAGGGGAGCAAAUGGGAUUAGAUACCCCAGUAGUCCUAGCCGUAAACGAUGGAUACUAGGUGUUGCACGUAUUAACCCGUGCAGUAUCGUAGCUAAGGCGUUAAGUAUCCCGCCUGGGAAGUACGCUCGCAAGAGUGAAACUCAAAGGAAUUGACGG